rnacentral:tRNA from 1 species
GGCUAGUAUAGCUUAAUGGUAGAGCAGCUGAUUUGUAAUCAGCCGGUUAUGGGUUCAAGUCCCCUUACUAGCUU